UCCUUUUAAUAUCAAAGUAUUAAUAAUUAGAAGUAGCAUAAAGAGUCUUCAUAAUAUUUCUUUUAUUACUAUAUUUAAUGUGCUACAAAUAAAGCAUAAUAUGAAUGUGUAAUCUAAAGUUAUAUAUUUUAAAACCAUAAUACAGAUUAUUCGUCAAGUUGAUAAAACUCUUAAGGUACAUAUCGAUAUUUGAUCAUUGAUUGAAUUGUUUUGAACUGAAUGUUUCACCUAGGAUGAUUCAACUAAUUGAGUUAAUAGCUGUUGGCAGUGAAUCUGUUUCAGGUUCAUAAUACUACUAGCAUAAUAGCACCUUUAAUG
rnacentral:lncRNA from 1 species